UUGUUAACAAGAAUGUGUCCAUAGUACACGGAUGCCCCACUCCCACUAUCGUUUUCUAUGUUCAGUGGACCGUGAAAUUGGGGUCAAAACUUUAAUUUGGAAUUAAAAUUAGAAAGAUCAUAUCAUAGGGAACAUGUGUACUAAGUUUCAAGUUGAUGUAACUUUAACUUCAUCAAAAACUACCUUGACCAAAAACUUUAACCUCAACUUUGCACUAUCAUUUUCUAUGUUUAGUGGACCAUGAAAUUGGUGUCAAAACUAUAAUUUGGCAUUAAAAUUAGAAAGAUCAUAUCAUGGGGAACAUGUGUAUUAAGUUUCAAGUUGAUUGGACUUCAGCUUCAUCAAAAACUACCUCGACCAAAAACUUUAACCGGACGGACGAACGGAGGCACAGACGGACGGACGGCGGGACGGAC
rnacentral:lncRNA from 1 species